rnacentral:lncRNA from 1 species
GAGAAUGAACUUAGUGAAUCUGUGGCGAUCGAAGGUGGACAGCAAGAUCGAAGCUCAGCAAGAUUGAAGAUUGUUCGAGGAAGAAGGAGUUCGCCGUUGACUAAAAGGUUUAUCUGAACAGCUAGUUGUCAAGAUGAACGUGAAGAGAAAAAAAUGA